rnacentral:rRNA from 1 species
ACGAAGGGAGCUAGCGUUGUUCGGAAUUACUGGGCGUAAAGGGCGCGUAGGCGGUUCUGCAAGUUGGAUGUGAAAGCCCAGGGCUCAACCCUGGAAUUGCAUUCAAGACUGCAUUACUUGAAUUCGGUAGAGGUGAGUGGAAUUCCCAGUGUAGAGGUGAAAUUCGUAGAGAUUGGGAAGAACACCGGUGGCGAAGGCGGCUCACUGGACCGACAUUGACGCUGAGGCGCGAAAGCGUGGGGAUCAAACAGGA